rnacentral:rRNA from 1 species
UACGUAGGUGGCAAGCGUUGUCCGGAAUUAUUGGGCGUAAAGCGCGCGCAGGUGGUUCCUUAAGUCUGAUGUGAAAGCCCACGGCUCAACCGUGGAGGGUCAUUGGAAACUGGGGAACUUGAGUGCAGAAGAGGAUAGUGGAAUUCCAAGUGUAGCGGUGAAAUGCGUAGAGAUUUGGAGGAACACCAGUGGCGAAGGCGACUAUCUGGUCUGUAACUGACACUGAGGCGCGAAAGCGUGGGGAGCAAA